AGCAGCGUGGCGCAGUGGAAGCGUGCUGGGCCCAUAACCCAGAGGUCGGUGGAUCGAAACCACUCG
rfam:Gongylonema pulchrum genome assembly, scaffold: GPTH_contig0008018